rnacentral:rRNA from 1 species
UACGGAGGGAGCUAGCGUUGUUCGGAAUUACUGGGCGUAAAGCGCGCGUAGGCGGCUUUGUAAGUUAGAGGUGAAAGCCCGGGGCUCAACCCCGGAAUUGCCUUUGAGACUGCAUCGCUAGAAUUGUGGAGAGGUAAGUGGAAUUCCGAGUGUAGAGGUGAAAUUCGUAGAUAUUCGGAAGAACACCAGUGGCGAAGGCGACUUACUGGACACAUAUUGACGCUGAGGUGCGAAAGCGUGGGGAGCAAACAGG